rnacentral:lncRNA from 1 species
UGCGCUCUCCAAUUGUGGCAUGCAUUGGGAAGGGGGCUCGCCGGUGUUGGGCGUUCGUCCUUUAUUCCCGGAACGCUGGACCGGUGCCCCCUAGAUGCCAACGACACUGCCAAAGGUGGCAUCACUACUGUGUCAGUGUACCAGGUCGUACCUACCACCAGUGCCUACGUGCUUCCACUAUACCGGCUUUCCUUCUUCUGGAUCGCAUUCAUCGGAUUUCUUCUGACGCUGCUCCUCGGGACAAUUUUCAGUCUCGCAACGGGUGGCGCUAGGAAAACAAAAAGCAAUUUGGUCCUUACAAGCACGGCUUUCUUGACACUCUGGUAUCGCUUCAAGUUGCUUCGACGAGCA